rnacentral:rRNA from 1 species
GGAUGACGUCAAGUCAGCAUGGCCCUUAUGCCUUGGGCUACACACACGCUACAAUGGGUGGUACAGCAGGUAGCAAUAGGGUAACCUGGAGCUAAUCCCUAAAACCAUCCUCAGUUCGGAUUGUAGGCUGAAACUCGCCUGCAUGAAGCUGGAGUUGCUAGUAAACGCGUAUCAGCACGGCGCGUUGAAUACGUUCUCGGGCCUUGUACACACCGCCCGUGGGGCGGGGGCGGCGG